rnacentral:lncRNA from 1 species
CCUCAGCUUAUACAUGCCACCGCAACAUAUGUCCCGAGCAGCCGAUUGCCACCCGUGUGAGUACGUUCUCGGAGUCCUCUGGUACUCUAGACCUGACAAGGGCUCCAUGCUCGUUUACAUCCAGGCUCCACUGUUUACCAACUACAUAACCCUGAGCAAGGACUUAACCUCUUCUAUGAACCUCAGUUUUCUUACCUGUAAACUGAAGAUGAUGCUAACUUCCUCCUCUUGAGAUCACAGGGCAUUAAAUCAGAUAAUGUAAAGCACAGAACACAAUGCUUGGCUGAAUCCUCAUUAAAUAUCAAAACAAAAAAAGGAAAAAGAAGACUAAAGAUGUACUUAGCAUAAUCCAACCUCCCUUGAUUUAGAGAGGUAAUUACAGAAAGCCCAGUCCUCCCCCAUCACGACAUGUAAGGGAAAAUAACAGGAGACCAUGUAUUUUGGAAUAGGUGUGAGAACCUUCCUUGUCUUUCAAAUACGAGAGAGAGGUCAAAUCAUAUAAGCUUGAAAAGUGUCCGCCAACUGGGCAAGAACACCUUGGGUGAGUUUCAAAAGCCAUUUCAAUUGAUUGGGGAAGGUAAAGCCAGAUACUGCUAAAUCGCAAAGUGAAUGAGAAGUGAGAAAGUGAAAGUUAUAUAAACUUCCAAGGAAGUGGGGCCAUAGCAGGCAUGGGGAACUGGGCACUGUUUAAUUUUAAUUAGCUUGUACUCCUCUACAAUCACCUGAACCUUCUCUGAAUAGAGACGAAUUGGUCUUCUCGGCCUUAUUUGAACAAAAUCUCAUUUGUUUUCUCUCAAAUAUGGAACAAGUUAAGGUUGUUUUAAAUAUUCAUCUUCUUCUAGUUACCAGCUCUCUCUCAUCUCUGUCCUGCCAAGUGAUGACAUCUCUGUAUCAGGAGUGGCUCAAUAUCUCCCUUUCUAGAGGUGUUUAAGAAAUGGAUAGGCAUUGUUGCCAAAAGGAUUAAACUUUGGUUUAAACUAGGUGACCUCUGAAGUCCCUUUCCCAACAGCACAAGUCAACGCUCUUUGAGCUCCUCUAUCUAAAAUCAAUUCUAAGCAGCUCUCCCAAUCUCUUCGCUGAGAAAGGACUAAUAUAUUCUUACACCGCAUUCCAUUUCUGAUGGUAUCAGAUGUGCACCCUGAUGCCAGGUACUUGGAGAGGCCACUGAUGGCUUUCAAUUCCACUGCCCCAUUUAUAUUUUGCUUUCAGUGCCAAAAAAGUCAAGAGGACCAUAUUCACAUAGCACUUUUCUCAUUAAAGCCAAACAUGAGCCUGAACCCCCCACCUUUACCACUCAAACCAAUAACGACCUCAUUUAAUUCCAGCACCGAACAAUGUCUUUCACUUAAAAUUAAUGUCUUGUCCACAUAAAAUUGAAAUACAGAAUGCAGCCUUCCUGAUGAUAAGUAGAAAGCAUAAAGGUGACUUUUAAGGAGAUAAAUUUAUUCUGUCAGGGAUGGAAUAAAAACCUUUUGCUAUUCACCUGUGACUUGAACACUCCUAAGCAAUGAGUUCUUCCCUUAUUUGUAACUAAAUAUGAUCUGUCACUCAGCCUUCCCUUGCUGUCAUGUGUUAAAUUAAAAUAUAUCAUUAAUAUAUACAUCGCUUCUGAUCCUCACAUGGUUAAUGGCUCUCUAUUAAAAGACCAGGGAGUGUGUUGGCAUCCGAUAGCCAGGCAUGCCGAAUAAUAUACCAUACAAAUGGAUAGGUGGUAGGGAACAUGGUCUUUAAAUUACUUAAAAUAGCAUAAUUGUAUCACCUCCAUUUACAGAGAAAAUCAAGCAAGGCAGUGCAAAUUGUCUUGAGUUAAUGGAAUAAUAAAGAAUUCUAAUGAUCCAAUAGAGAUUUCUGGAAAUAAAAUCAUGUAGAAAUAUUUGUGUUGUUUAAUAUGACAGCUCAGAUUUUAAAACAGGAAAAUAUGUUAGAUAAUUGAACACAGAAGAGGUGUUUUCUCCAAUGAGUCAAAAUCAAGAAUUUUGCAUUCAACCCUCCAUUAUCUUGUUUCUAGAUAUGAAAUGAGACUAAUUUAUGAUAUCAAUUUAUUUAUAAUUUAUAAAUUAUAUUGGCCAUUCUCUCAAAGAAAACUUAGUUCAGGCUGUGUUUUUGUUGUAUUACUGCCAGUGUAGAUGUACUUACAUUUGGUGAAUACUUACUAGGUGCCAACUAUUUUAUUUAAUCCCCACAACAAACCUUCGGAAUUUAUUUUAGCAUCAUCAUCAUCAUCUUUUUUCAGAUUGGGAAACCAAACAACAUAACAUCUUAGUAAUUGGCUCAAAAUCACCAGUAGUAGAGAGCAUGGAUUAGAAUACAGUUGAUUCUGCUUCUCAAUAAGGAAAAUAAGACUCAGAAUAGACAACCAUCUCAAAGUCAGAAGUGAAAUCAAAAAUCCAAAGCCCUCUUUUAAAAAAAAAAUUUUAUUAUGGGGAUACUGAAAUAGACACUCAACUAAAGAAAAUGGUAUUAUGAACCAGAACAAAAAAAACAAGACUUUUAUUUCCAAAUCUACAAUUCUAGUUUUCCUAGAACAUGUUUCAUCUAUGAGAUAGAAAUAUUUAUAGAAGUAUUUAUCUCAGAAAUUUUUAAUAGAAAAAAUUUCAAUGCUAUUUUAAUUUUAAAGGUAAUACAUGUUCAGUAUAAAACCAUUCAUUGAAAAAGACAAGAAAUAACAAUUGUUGGAGAAGAUGUGGAGAAAAAGGAACCCUUGUGCACUGUUGGUGGAAUGCAAACUGGUACAGACAUCAUAGAAAAUAGUAUGGAGGUUGCUCAAAAAAUUAAAAAUAGAGUUAUCAUAUGAUCCAAUAAUUCCACUACUAUUUACCCAAAGAAUACAAAAACACUAAUUCAAAAAGAUAUAUGCACCCCUAUGUUUAGUACAGCAUUAUUUCCAAUAGCCAAAAUUGGCAAUUUUACAAUGGCCAAGUGUCCAUCAAAAAUUGGCAAUUUUACAAUAGCCAAGUGUCCAUCAGUAGAUGAAUGGAUCAAAAGAUGUGAGCUAUAUAUACAUACACAUGCACACAAUAGAAUAUUACUCAGCCAUAAGAAAGAAUGAAAUCUUGCCAUCUGCAAUAACAUGGAUAUAUCUGGCGGGUAAAAUGAUAAGUGAAGUAAGUCAGACAGAGAAAGGCAAAUACCAUAUGAUUUCGCUCAUAUAUAGAAUUUAAGAAACAAAUCAAACAACAGAAAAAAAGAGACCAAAAAAAAUGGACUCUUAAAUAUUGAGAACAGAUUAGUGGUUGCCACAGGGGAGGUCUGUGGGGGUGAGUGAAACAGAUAAAGAGCAUCAAAAGUACACUUAUUAUGAUGAGCCCUAAAUAAUGUAUGGAAUUGUUGAAUCAUUAUACUGUACACCUGAAAGUAAUAUAAUACAGUAGGUUAAUUGUGAAUCAAUGAAAUAAGUAAAACAAAAAAGAUUAAAAAGACAAAAAACAUUCAUUCAGAAUAGAAAGGUCUGCCUAAUAGCUUGUGCAAUUCCUUCUAGAUUUUCUCUACUCAUACAUACACAUGUAUAGAAAUAUAAUUAUUUUUUACAAGAUGGAAUCAUACUAUGUGUACUCUUAAAACCUACUAAUUUUGCUCUUUAAAUGUACAAUGGACAUAUUUCCAUUUAAUAAACAUUUAUCUAUAGCUUCAUUCUUAAUGUUUACAUUGUGUUCUAUUAUAUCAAUGAACCAUCAUUUACUUAACCAAUCCUUUGUUAAUGAAUAUUUAUGUUUUUUCAGGGUUUUGUUACCAUAAAAACAUUGUGGCAAAUUUCCUAUCUUAUAUAUCUUUCUAUGUUUGUAAAAUUAAUUCUUAGAAGUUCCUGGCACAUAAUAGGUUCUCAAUAAAUUUGCUGAAUUAAUGGAUGAAUGAACAGUAAAAUGGCUUGGACAAAGAAUUGGUAAAUCUUAUUGCUAUGUAUGGCUAAAUUACCUUCUAGAAAGCAAUGAAUCCAUCUUCUGUUAUUUACAUUUUGUUGUUUUAACUUUGUUUAUGGUUUAAAUAUUUAAGGAAUUUUCAAAUCUUCUACUUUGUGGUUCUGUCUUAGGGGCAGUGAUGUGUGGGAGUGAGAUUCCAGUAUCUUGUGAAAGCCAAAUGGUGAAUUUUCAGAAAUUUUGAGAACCAGCUAUAAAAUGUAGCCAUUAUUUUAAAAUGUUAACUUACAAUUAAAUAACUUAUGUUUAAAACAGAGGUAAUACUGCAUUACUUCUUAAUUAUUUUUCUAUGUUUUACUAUUAUCUACACUCUCAAAAUCAGUUAUGAGUAAGUAUCGUAUUGUCAACCAAGAAAAGAGGCAGAACUGAAAUCAAACAAAAGUAUUCAUUUAGGGUCUCAGAAUUAUAAUUGAGGGAGCAUAGAUUUAGGUAGCACUAAGUAGACUAGGAAGCAAAAGUUGGGGGUUUUUUAAAACAAAAGGGAAUGCUUAUACAUGUUGUUUACAAAGAACUUUGGUUGGUGUUGGCGGCAGAAAACUAAUCUUGGCUAAAAAUAAUUGGUUGCUACAACUAUCACUAAGCAAAAGCCUGUUACUGUGACAAGUUGCAGAUGUUCCUACAGAGUCCUUGGAUGUUUGGCCCAGUUCACAUGAUUUCACUCAAUGGGGACGUGCAUAAAGCCCACCUCCUACAGGUCUCUCAGCUCCAUUUUAAAAGCCCUUGACAUGAGUGACUUCAUUUAUUUCAUGUUUCACAAUAUCUGGAGGAUGGAAAUAAUAGAGUGAUAUGCUACUCCGAUCUCUUUCCAACUCCAUGUUCAGUGACUUUAUGUUGGUAGCUUGAAAUUGGUCAUGGUAGGAGUAUUUACCUUGGAAAUCAGUAGGUGCUAUAAAUCAGGACUUCAUUUACUGUUGAAGCUGGAAGAGUUUUUAGUUUAAUUAAAAAUUUAUAUGAGGGUGAGAAGAAGUUUAACAAUAAGCCUUAUAUCAGAUUUAAUGGCAAUAAAUCUACUGGGAAAAGAGCAGACUGAGACACAGCUCCCUAUGUCAAAUCACAGCUGAAUACGCCUACAGAUUUAAAGUUAAAAAAAAAAAUCAAGAAAAGCAUUAUGAGAAAAACAAUUGACUACAUGAAAUUAUAUUUACAAUAAGAAGAAUUGUGAACUUUUAAGUUGCAAGUUGUGUGCUAUGCAUCUUUUAUAUUAGUAAAAUCUAUAAUAAAUACAUGUACAUACAUACAAUACUUUUUUCAAAGAGUUGGUUGUUAAACAUUUAAUGGCACAUUACUUUUAGGGUCAUAUACUGAGAAGUUUUCCCUUUAUAAAAACUGAAAUACCACGUGUACUUUAUUUUAACCUUCUACAUGCAGUCAGCUAUCUCUGAAAUUUGUGUUGUUUCAUUGAUCUUUCUGUAUUUAUGACCUUGGUAAUGAUUGAAUCAUACCUUUAAAAUGCAUUUAGACUAUGUUGUAUACCUGAAACUAAUAUGGUAUUGUACGUUAACUAAGCUUCAAUAAAAAAUUAUAAAAUAUAUAAAAUGCAUUAGGUAUCUGGAAAGGCAAAUACACUCAUGACUUUCCCCACCCCUGUCCAUAUACCAGAUGGACUUUAAAAAACUCUUUCCAACAGUACACCAGUGACAUUUCCUUUCAUUCAGCUCUUAUUUUAUAUUCAUUGUUAGAAUCUUAUCAUUUGCUUCGUAUAUACCCUAUACAUUUCUAGUCUUCAUAACUCUACAUAUUUUAUAUCUUUGGUGUUUAUGUACUUCAUACAUGGGAUUUUUAAUAUUUUUGAAAUUAUCACAUGAGCACUGAGUAAUGUAUAGAGUUAUUGAAUCACUAUAUUGUACACUUGAAACUAAUAUAACACCAUAUGUUAAUUAUACAUACAUGGAAAUAAAAUAUAUAUGGAAAUGAGAAAAAUUAUUUAUCAUAGAUGUUAUACUACUAGUUAGAAUGAUUUCAAAACUCUUUCUUGAAAGGGGCACCUGGGUGGCUCAGUGGUUGAGCAUCUGCCUUUGGCACAGGUCGUGAUCCUGGGGUCCUGGGAUCAAGUCCCACAUGGGGCCCCCUCACAGGGAGGCUGCUUCUCCCUCUGCCUAUGUCUCUGCCUCUCUCUGUGUGUCUCUCAUGAAUAAAUUUUCAAAAUCUUAAAAGAAAGAAAAAAAACCUCUUCCAUGAAAAACCAAGUUUAAAAGAAUAGCUGCAAACCAAUUCUAACAGGACGAUGGCUGGGUCCUUGUUCAGUUUUUACCAUCCUCCCGGUAAUUCUCAAUUUUUUCCACCUAGAAACUGGUUAUGGUUAUUUUCUUUAAAAUUCCUUUCCUAGAGAAAGAAAAGUAUGAGUUGUUAGAAGGAGAGUUCUAGAAUGCCAGCAUUAAAGCAUGAAAUGUUUUAUCAGUACCAGGAAUGGCCAUAUACAAACAAGUACAAAUAUGCCAUCUCUAAUAAUUAUCCUUUCUAUACUGUAGAAUAUGAAAAUAAUAUUAGCAUUACAAACAUACUAGCACUUGAAUUUCUUGUAUUUUUUUCUUCUACUUAACAUGUUUCCCUCUUGGCUGUGACUAAAAGGCAGCACAAAGCCAAGUUUAUGUCUUAACAGUUUCUUCGUUAAGAUGCACACCCGAUUUUACAUUCUCCUUCCCUCUCCUUUUGGUAAUAGUGCCCUAAUAAUACAUGAAUAUCUACUGAUUUAAAAAUUCAAACAAAAAAAAA